GACGAACGCUGGCGGCGUGCCUAAUACAUGCAAGUAGAACGCAGUUGCGAACGGGUGAGUAACGCGUAGGUAACCUGCCUCAUUGCGGGGGAUAACUAUUGGAAACGAUAGCUAAUUCCGCAUUCUGUGAGAUGGAUCGGCGUUGUAUUAGUUAGUUGGUGAGGUAAAGGCUCACCAAGGCGACGAUACAUAGCCGACCUGAGAGGACGGCCAGCCACACUGGGACUGGGAAACGGCCCAAAAGCCUACGGGAGGCAGCAGUGGGGAAUUUUGGACAAGGGGGGAAACCCUGAUCCAGACAUCCCGCGUGUGCGAUGAAGGCCUUCGGGUUGUAAAGCACUUUUGGCAGGAAAGCGGUACCUGCAGAAUAAGCACCGGCUAACUACGUGCCAGCAGCCGCGGUAAUAC
rnacentral:rRNA from 1 species